rnacentral:rRNA from 1 species
AUGCAGUCGAACGGCAGCACGGGGGCAACCCUGGUGGCGAGUGGCGAACGGGUGAGUAAUACAUCGGAACGUGUCCUGUAGUGGGGGAUAGCCCGGCGAAAGCCGGAUUAAUACCGCAUACGAUCUACGGAAGAAAGCGGGGGAUCGCAAGACCUCGUGCUAUAGGGGCGGCCGAUGGCAGAUUAGCUAGUUGGUGGGGUAAAGGCCUACCAAGGCGACGAUCUGUAGCUGGUCUGAGAGGACGACCAGCCACACUGGGACUGAGACACGGCCCAGACUCCUACGGGAGGCAGCAGUGGGGAAUUUUGGACAAUGGGGGCAACCCUGAUCCAGCAAUGCCGCGUGUGUGAAGAAGGCCUUCGGGUUGUAAAGCACUUUUGUCCGGAAAGAAAACUUCGAGGCUAAUAUCCUUGGAGGAUGACGGUACCGGAAGAAUAAGCACCGGCUAACUACGUGCCAGCAGCCGCGGUAAUACGUAGGGUGCGAGCGUUAAUCGGAAUUACUGGGCGUAAAGCGUGCGCAGGCGGUCUGUUAAGACCGAUGUGAAAUCCCCGGGCUUAACCUGGGAACUGCAUUGGUGACUGGCAGGCUUUGAGUGUGGCAGAGGGAGGUAGAAUUCCACGUGUAGCAGUGAAAUGCGUAGAGAUGUGGAGGAAUACCGAUGGCGAAGGCAGCCUCCUGGGCCAACACUGACGCUCAUGCACGAAAGCGUGGGGAGCAAACAGGAUUAGAUACCCUGGUAGUCCACGCCCUAAACGAUGUCAACUAGUUGUUGGGGAUUCAUUUCCUUAGUAACGUAGCUACGCGUGAAGUUGACCGCCUGGGGAGUACGGUCGCAAGAUUAAAACUCAAGGAAUUGACGGGGACCCGCACAAGCGGUGGAUGAUGUGGAUUAAUUCGAUGCAACGCGAAAACCUUACCUACCCUUGACAUGGUCGGAACCUGGCUGAAAGGCU